UCCCUGGUGGCUCAGAUGGUAAAGAAUCCGCCUGCAAUGCAGGAGACCCAGGUUCGACUCCUGGCUCAGGAA
rnacentral:tRNA from 1 species